ensembl:lncRNA
ACACACACACACACACACACACACACUCACACACACUCACACAUACACACACACACACACACACACACACACACACACAGAAAAUGAGUUGAGCUGGAGAACACAGAAGAGGAGUUGAGCUGGAGAGGAACACAGAAGAGGAGUUGAGCUAAUUACAUGAUGUUCCUUAAAGGCACAGACCCCCGGGUAGCAGGUGUUGUUGCCAGUAAGCUCUGAGUAGGGCGUACACCUGAUAUGAAUGUAGGUGAGGUGAUCCUGUAUGGCUACAUUCUUUACGUUCGACGUCAUUAAACUGUCUGAACUGCAUGUUGAUAAACCAGCUUCUCAUGACAGAGACUUUGCUCUUUGGGUCGAUCGGGUCUAAUUCACAGAAGGCAGAGAAAAAGCUAACUAAUGUCUCUGAGGAAAACAAAAUACAUGGUGAGUAACACAAAAUACAUACAGGAGUCUCCAGUGGGUUGGUGAAGUAAUGAUGUCUGCAAGAGUCUCAUUUCCUUUCGGUGUUCCUAAUGUUUCUGGGCAGGAAGUAGUUUAAUAAUUCUUUAUUGCAUGUGGAGAGAUAAUUAACCUAUGCUUGGUGAAAUAGUGUGCCCCAUUUGCUGAAUUUUCUUAGAGUAAAAUUUAUAACUAAGUAACAGCCAGUUAACACAAGUAAAUAACUGAAGAGGUUCGAUAUAUUGAGAGUAAAGCAUAUAGAAAGAAAGAGAUACCAUGUAAUCUAAAAUGUGGUCUGGAUUAUUUUGCGGUGGAGGAGCAUUUAAGCUUAUUUGACGAUGUAAAUGUAAUAACUGCAAUAAUUUUAAGAAGUAGUUGAAUUCUGAACAGAUACAAUCAUUGCCUCGUUAAGUUCUUAGAGCUCUGUAAAGGUGAUCAGACCUGUUAAGCAAGUUAUCCCGUGGAGAAUUCAUUGCUAGUACUGGAACAAUGCCAACCUCAAACCCACGUCUAGUUUCAUCUUAAGAAGUCUACUUAGAAGUAUUAAAGGGUCCAUGUUUAUGUAUGUCCUCUCCACUCCCCCACCUAAGCCAUGUUUUCAGCCUUGUACAUUUGUCUGGUCACAUAACCAUGUUGCUCUUGGCUGGGAUGAGGUGUGUCGAGUGUGAGGCAAUUCAAACCUCAUGACCUAACCAUAGAAACAGAGGCAAGAAACUUGAGCUAAUAGCUGUAAAAGCAUGAGUGAGAGUGAUUGAUGGAAAUGUUAAUUGUUUAUAGACACCGAAGAGCAGUAUUGUAUGAGGUACUGAGACCAUGCUACACCGAUGAUUGUGAAAUCUUGUUUAAUGAUGUCAGGUUUGGCAUAUGGCCAGGGGUGUCCGAAGCAGCAUUGGACACAGGAAAGGAUGUUGAAUUCCUCCAGCUACUGGUUUGGGACUCCCCACAGUAGCCAAAACUCUCACUAU